rnacentral:rRNA from 1 species
ACGUAGGUGGCAAGCGUUGUCCGGAUUUAUUGGGCGUAAAGCGCGCGCAGGCGGUCCUUUAAGUCUGAUGUGAAAGCCCACGGCUCAACCGUGGAGGGUCAUUGGAAACUGGGGGACUUGAGUGCAGAAGAGGAAAGUGGAAUUCCGGGUGUAGCGGUGGAAUGCGUAGAGAUCCGGAAGAACACCGGUGGCGAAGGCGGCCCGCUGGGCUGUGGCUGACGCUGAGGCGCGACAGCGUGGGGAGCAAACAGGA